rnacentral:lncRNA from 1 species
UGGAGGAUAAAGCCAAGAUAAUCAGCCUAGCGGUUUCUCUCUCUCCAGUACCCUGCGUCAGCAAGGGCCUGGGUGAAUUCUGGCAUUUGUUCCUUGCGAUAGGUAAUCGAGGCAACAUCCGUGGGCCCGAACUUCCGGAGGAGAGGCUGAUCAGUCAGAUUUUUUGCCCUCAACCCUUCCUCUCUCCUAACCAGCCUGUGUGUGUGAUGUGGCCUUUCUGAGUCCAGUGGGGCUCCCGGGCUGACUUCCGGCAUGGAGGGUUUCCUGAACAUGGUUUCUUUGCUCACAGCCCCUCUUCCUCCUGUCCUUCCUACAGUCAGCUGGAGCGUGGGGGUGCCCAUCCUCUAAAGAAUUAUUCUUUAUGUGUCUCCCCAGUGCCUGGCUUCGAAAUCAAAGGGAUCUGGGCCUCGUGUGUUAGACGGAAUUCCCAUGAGUCUCGAGUGUGCGAUACAACCAGGCUUCCUGGCCCCCGAGGGGCUCACCAGGCAGGCAGAGAGUUCAGCAGGUGACCCAGGAUCCACCGGCAAAGUGACAGGCAGGUCACAAGGGCUCUGGGUGGCUGACAUGAGUUAAGGCCUCAGACACACGUGACAAAUGUAGGCAGCCCGCAGCCCUGGAGGGUUAGAUUUCAUUUUAAAGGAGCCGCCUGCCCAUUUGCACCCUGCACCUGGUUUGUCUCCUUCUUCACCUGAUCCCAUUCUGUAAUUACACGCUCACACGUUUCUUCUCCCAACCUUCCUCUAGAAAGCAAGCUGGAGAGGGAAGGGCUGCGGCCGCCUUCUCCCCCACCUUAACGCGCGCCGAGAAGGUGCUGAAAAGCCCGCGUCAAGGCCUGUGAGCAGGGAUCAUAAAGACUGCAGUGCCUUAGCUCUGAGGGGAUGCGGUGGUCCACACCCUCUCUACAGAGAACGUCCUGGGUAACACCCUCAGCAUCUGCCCACCCAGGUGGCCUGGACCGUUUUGGAGUUGCUGGUCGACCUAAAUUAGGUUGGGGAAGCACCCAGAAUCUGCAGACUCAGUCGUCUCUGUUUCACCAGAAGUUUGCUGAGCCUCUUUGAUGUGCCAGGCCCUGAGCAUGGAAGGUUGGCAGCAGAUCAUGAUGUAUGCCUUACAUGGGAUGGAGUCUCACUGCCCACUGAGGAAGCUGGGG